UUCCAAAGUGUUGAGUUCAGUUCAGGGUAAUGUCCCUGUUCUGUUAAUUAAACUUUGGAACAUUGAAACAGGCUAGGAAAAAUGGUUGGAUAGAAAAUCUGACUCUAUUCAUUCAUCUCCCGGCCUACAAAA